UACGAAGGGGGCUAGCGUUGCUCGGAUUGGACUGGGCGUAAAGGGCGCGUAGGCGGUUCGUAACAGUCAGACGUGAAAUUCCUGGGCUCAACCUGGGGGCUGCGUUUGAUACGUGCGGACUUGAGUGCGGAAGAGGGUCGUGGAAUUCCCAGUGUAGUAGGUGAAAUUCGUAGAUAUUGGGAAGAACACCGGUGGCGAAGGCG
rnacentral:rRNA from 1 species